rnacentral:rRNA from 1 species
UACGUAGGGGGCGAGCGUUGUCCGGAAUUAUUGGGCGUAAAGAGCGUGUAGGCGGUUCGGUAAGUCUGUCGUGAAAACCUGGGGCUCAACCCCAGGCGUGCGGUGGAUACUGCCGGGCUAGAGUACGGAAGAGGCGAGUGGAAUUCCCGGUGUAGCGGUGAAAUGCGCAGAUAUCGGGAGGAACACCUAUGGCGAAGGCAGCUCGCUGGGACGUUACUGACGCUGAGACGCGAAAGCGUGGGGAGCAAACAGG